AGCGAACGCUGGCGGCAGGCCUAACACAUGCAAGUCGAAUGAAGUCUUCGGACUUAGUGGCGGACGGGUGAGUAACACGUGGGAACGUGCCUUUAGGUUCGGAAUAACUCAGGGAAACUUGUGCUAAUACCGAAUGUGCCCUUCGGGGGAAAGAUUUAUCGCCUUUAGAGCGGCCCGCGUCUGAUUAGUUAGUUGGUGGGGUAAUGGCCCACCAAGGCUACGAUCAGUAGCUGGUCUGAGAGGAUGACCAGCCACAUUGGGACUGAGACACGGCCCAAACUCCUACGGGAGGCAGCAGUGGGGAAUCUUGCGCAAUGGGCGAAAGCCUGACGCAGCCAUGCCGCGUGGAUGAUGAAGGUCUUAGGAUUGUAAAAUCCUUUCACCGGUGAAGAUAAUGACUGUAGCCGGAGAAGAAGCCCCGGCUAACUUCGUGCCAGCAGCCGCCGUAA
rnacentral:rRNA from 1 species